rnacentral:tRNA from 2 species
GGAGACGUGGGUGAGCGGUUUAAACCAGCAGUCUUGAAAACUGCCGACUCGCAAGGGUCCGUGAGUUCGAAUCUCACCGUCUCCGCCA